AAUGAGGUGAGGAACUUUGGCCUCCAGCUCACAGUUGGCAAAGAACCAUUGGUGUGUGACCUUGAGAGCAAGUCCUCCAGCUCCAAUCAGGUCUUCAGAUGAUUCCAACUUUAUGAGAAGUUGGGCGUGGUGGUUCACACCUGUAAUCCCAGUACUUUAGGAGGCUGAGGCGGUUGGAUCAUCUGAGGUCAGGAGUUCAAGACCAACUUUCUGAGAGACACUGGGUCAGACCACCCAGCCAGACUGCUCCCACAAUCCUCACCUAAAGAAACUGUCUUAAGCUACUAAAUUCUGGGGGCAAUUUGUUACACAAUAGAAAACUAAUACAUAAAGAGGCUAUGUAUUAUCCUACUUACCUCAUUGCUAUGUAUCAUUUCGUAGAGAAGGGAGGAGGCAGAAGGAUAGGGGGUUUAAACAGAAUUAGUUAUUCACUCAACUCGGCUUUACCAUGCACCAAAUACAUGGAGCUAACCUGUUGCUUGGAUUCUGCUUGCCAGCAUCAUCACAUUUGUGCAUCAAUAAGCAUGCAUGGACUGAGGAACAUGCCAGAUCUCUCACCCCCUCAACCCUCCACAUCUCUCUAGCAUAAAGUCUUGCUUUGCACAUGCCCAUUUUACAGAUACGGCUGAGAAAUAAAGCACUAAAAAUUGUGCUCUCUAUACUAACAUACUCAUCAUAAAAAUGGGAUCACUCUCAUUUUUUUUCUGGGUGUUGUGACCACAUGUUGCUUAUAGAUUUUGUUUAGGUAAGUCAAAGAAAAUUGAUUAAGUACCAGUGGAAAGAUAUUUUGAUUUCUUGGUUGUUGGCCAGUGACUUGCACAAUCAUCUCUGAAAAGGAAGCAAAAUGUCUUGAGUUAUUAGUAUAUUUUAAAGAG
rnacentral:lncRNA from 10 species